GUUCCUAUAGUUAAAUUUCGAUAACGGUGGCUUUUCAGGCCAAAGAUCUUGGAGAAAGUCCGAGUAGGAAUU
rnacentral:tRNA from 1 species